rnacentral:rRNA from 1 species
ACGUACACUCCUACGGGAGGCAGCAGUGGGGAAUAUUGCACAAUGGGCGCAAGCCUGAUGCAGCCAUGCCGCGUGUAUGAAGAAGGCCUUCGGGUUGUAAAGUACUUUCAGCGGGGAGGAAGGCGAUAAGGUUAAUAACCUUGUUGAUUGACGUUACCCGCAGAAGAAGCACCGGCUAACUCCGUGCCAGCAGCCGCGGUAAUACGGAGGGUGCAAGCGUUAAUCGGAAUUACUGGGCGUAAAGCGCACGCAGGCGGUCUGUCAAGUCGGAUGUGAAAUCCCCGGGCUCAACCUGGGAACUGCAUUCGAAACUGGCAGGCUAGAGUCUUGUAGAGGGGGGUAGAAUUCCAGGUGUAGAGGUGAAAUGCGUAGAGAUCUGGAGGAAUACCGGUGGCGAAGGCGGCCCCCUGGACAAAGACUGACGCUCAGGUGCGAAAGCGUGGGGAGCAAACAGGAUUAGAUACCCCUGUAGUCCCAUGAU